rnacentral:ncRNA from 1 species
GUAAAUGCAUUGAUCGGAAUAAGUAGUUGAAUGUACAAGCUACAGAGAGUGGCCGUUUGGUGAGAGGCGCAGCAACUGGCAUUUGAUGAAUACCUCCGUGAGCAGCUUCCCGGAAACAAUCAGAUGAUUUGUGAACAUUUUUUGAUUGAAAGUAGGGGAAGACGGAAAUCCAACCGUUACAGUGGAAGGGUCUUCAUUUUUAGAUGAAUCCGUAGAGAUUUCAUUUGUAAGGAUGAGUACCUGCUGAGGCAUAAGGCGUGAGUCUUGUGUGAAUAAAGGUGGUAACACGGAACAAUAUCCGUCCUUUGU